CCUACGGGCGGCAGCAGUGAGGAAUAUUGGUCAAUGGACGAGAGUCUGAACCAGCCAAGUAGCGUGAAGGAUGACUGCCCUAUGGGUUGUAAACUUCUUUUAUAUGGGAAUAAAACGUUCCACGUGUGGGAUUUUGUAUGUACCAUAUGAAUAAGGAUCGGCUAACUCCGUGCCAGCAGCCGCGGUAAUACGGAGGAUCCGAGCGUUAUCCGGAUUUAUUGGGUUUAAAGGGAGCGUAGGUGGAUUGUUAAGUCAGUUGUGAAAGUUUGCGGCUCAACCGUAAAAUUGCAGUUGAAACUGGCAGUCUUGAGUACAGUAGAGGUGGGCAGAAUUCGUGGUGUAGCGGUGAAAUGCUUAGAUAUCACGAAGAACUCCGAUUGCGAAGGCAGUUCACUGGACUGCAACUGACACUGAGGCUCGAAAGUGUGGGUAUCAAACAGGAUUAGAUACCCUUGUAGUC
rnacentral:rRNA from 1 species